CAGUGUUCAAGACAGCAGGAAAUGCAUGCUGUGGUAGUAUAACCUAUGAAAAGGAAAAGCAACACAAUCAAAAUUAUGCUACUACUGAUUCACUGACAAAAAUUUGAAGCUUAGCUACAGCUCCUGAAAAUUAUUCUGCAACCUUCUUGAAAUGAAACUAAAUAAUUUGCAACUGGCUGAGAUGAGAAGUUGAUUAAUCAAGAACAGUGCUUACACUAAGCCAAGGACUUCUUGGCUUCUCAUGCUGCCCUGUCAGUGAGCAGGAGAAUGGGAGUGCAGUAGGAGCUGGGAGGGGACACAGACAGGACAACUGACCCAAACUGAACAAAGGGAU
rnacentral:lncRNA from 1 species